CACGGCCGGGACUAGAGACCCACACCUCCGCAGCUCCGCGCCGGGGCAGCUGUUUCACCCGGAGAGAGCCGGGCGAAGGCUUCAAAGGACUCUGCGUACGGUUGAGCCAGUUUUCUUUGCUGCUGUGACCAAGGCGGAGCUGGUCUGAGGGAAGAGACACACUUUGCGAUCAGCCAUCAACUUGUGAGCAUACCUUGGUGUCAAACAGAAAUUUCUUAACGUGGCUGCUACGCCGGUAUUCCUCCAGGUCCAGAUCAAUGGCU